rnacentral:lncRNA from 1 species
CUUAGGAGUAUCUACCCUACUGGUCAAAAACCCAAAUAUCUACAGUGGCCAGGAAGAUAACAUAAAUAAACACAGAUGUAUUUAAGAAAAAUAGAGACAGACGUGCUUUAUAUGCCUAAUCAACCCAGAGCCAACUCUUCUCUCCCACCACGAAACAGGUUCUCUCCCACUAUCCUUGAAAGGAAGGCAGUGUUAAUGAAAUUCUUGGAGGCAAACAACUUAUGGCCUGGGAAUAUACCAAUUCUUGUGCUCGGUGAUAUUUGCAGAAAAAGUUUCCCAAGAUCUGAAUCGUGUGUACCAAAGGGAGCCAAAGAAGCUGAAGGGAGAGAAGAGGGUCCUUAUCCCCCUACGUUAAAGGAUCCUUUGGAAACAGUCCAGUCCCCCCCCCCCCCUUUUUUUUUUUUUUUUUUUUUGCAAAAUGAUGGCAGUGAAACCUUGGAAGGCAUGGAUACAAAAGUGAAUGGCUGA